GGGUUGUGAGGUUAAGCGACUAAGCGUACACGGUGGAUGCCCUGGCAGUCAGAGGCGAUGAAGGACGUGCUAAUCUGCGAUAAGCGUCGGUGAGGUGAUAUGAACCGUUAUAACCGGCGAUUUCCGAAUGGGGAAACCCAGUGUGUUUCGACACACUAUCAUUAACUGAAUCCAUAGGUUAAUGAGGCGAACCGGGGGAACUGAAACAUCUAAGUACCCCGAGGAAAAGAAAUCAACCGAGAUUCCCCCAGUAGCGGCGAGCGAACGGGGAGGAGCCCAGAGCCUGAAUCAGUGUGUGUGUUAGUGGAAGCGUCUGGAAAGGCGCGCGAUACAGGGUGACAGCCCCGUACACAAAAAUGCACAUAUUGUGAGCUCGAUGAGUAGGGCGGGACACGUGGUAUCCUGUCUGAAUAUGGGGGGACCAUCCUCCAAGGCUAAAUACUCCUGACUGACCGAUAGUGAACCAGUACCGUGAGGGAAAGGCGAAAAGAACCCCGGCGAGGGGAGUGAAAAAGAACCUGAAACCGUGUACG
rnacentral:rRNA from 2 species